UCCAGACUCCUACGGGAGGCAGCAGUGGGGAAUAUUGCACAAUGGGGGAAACCCUGAUGCAGCAACGCCGCGUGAGUGAGGAAGUAUUUCGGUAUGUAAAGCUCUCUCAGCAGGGAAUAGAAAAGAAGGUACCUGAAAAAGAAGCCCCGGCUAACUACGUGCCAGCAGCCGCGGUAAUACGUAGGGGGCAAGCGUUAUCCGGAUUUAUUGGGUUUAAAGGGUGCGUAGGCGGAAUGCCAAGUCAGCGGUAAAAUCGGGGGGCUCAACCUCGCUCCGCCGUUGAAACUGGCGCUCUUGAGUGGGCGAGAAGUAUGCGGAAUGCGUGGUGUAGCGGUGAAAUGCAUAGAUAUCACGCAGAACUCCGAUUGCGAAGGCAGCAUACCGGCGCCCAACUGACGCUGAAGCACGAAAGCGUGGGUAUCGAACAGGAUUAGAUACCCGAGUAUAA
rnacentral:rRNA from 1 species